rnacentral:rRNA from 1 species
AUACGGAGGAUCCGAGCGUUAUCCGGAUUUAUAGGGUUUAAAGGGUGCGCAGGCGGCCAUUUAAGUCAGCGGUUAAAUCGUGGGGCUCAACCCCAUUCUGCCGUUGAUACUGGGUGGCUUGAUUGCGGUCGAGGUUGGCGGAAUUCGUUGUGUAGCGGUGAAAUGCAUAGAUAUGACGAAGAACACCGAUUGCGUAGGCAGCUGACCAGAUCGCAAAUGACGCUCAUGCACGAAAGUGCGGGGAUCGAACAGGAUUAGAUACCCUGGUAGUCCGCACAGUAAACGAUGAAUACUUGUUUUCGGCGAUAUAAUGUCGGAGGCAAAGCGAAAGCGAUAAGUAUUCCACCUGGGGAGUACGCCGGCAACGGUGAAACUCAAAUGAAUUGACGAG